UAGUAACGGCGAGUGAAGCGGGAUGAGCUCAAGCUUAAAAUCUCUGUGCCAGUUUGGCAUGGCGAAUUGUAGUCUAUAGAGGCGUUGUCAGUGCAGCUGUGCGGGGUAAGUUCCUUGGAAGAGGACAGCAUCGAGGGUGAUACUCCCGUUUGUACCUGUGCGGCUUGCGCGUACGACACGUUUUCUUCGAGUCGCGUUGUUUGGGACUGCAGCGCAAAGUAGGUGGUAAAUUCCAUCUAAAGCUAAAUAUUGGUGCGAGACCGAUAGCGAACAAGUACCGUGAGGGAAAGAUGAAAAGAACUUUGAAAAGAGAGUUAAAGAGUACCUGAAACUGCUGAAAGGGAAGCGAAUCGUAUCCAGUGUCUAUAAUCUGCGGCAUAUUUCAUUGGCGGCGGUGCGCGUGCUUUUGCGUCGGAAGCGGCUUUUGUUGCUCUGUGCUUUUGCUGUGCGUGGUGUUGCUGGUGCCCUGUGUUGCGGUGGGACGUCAGAGUCAGUUUGUAUGCUGCGGGAAAUGGCUGCCGAGGAGGUAGGUCGAGAUUUCGGUCUUGGCUGUUAUAUCUUGGUGGUUUGUUGUCGUGGUUGAGACUGAGGUGCCUACAAUGUGCUUUUGAGUGUGCCGGGUUCUCAUUUGGUGGACUGUUUGGAUAGCUUGCUAUGCUUGUGGUUUUUUCAUCGGGUGAUUGAGUCUGGUGGUAACUUAUUGCCGUUC
rnacentral:rRNA from 2 species